CGGGCGGGAAGGGAGCGCAACACACGUCCUGGACGAGGUUUGAGCCAAAAGCACCGUGCUGCCCGACUUUCAUCGACAUUCCUUCUCCUGCCCGGCCCGCAGGACCGAGCCAACCGAUUCGCGGUGCGUAAUUACGCAUCGGGACGACACACAUCGGCUGUGCUUUUCGGCGUGGAAACCCCGCGGACAAAGAAAGGCAGGCGGGCUGUAGUAUAAGCUACUUGAGAAGAGAGGACUACAGUUCGAGGAGAAAUAGGGAAGUCUGGAGUCGGAAGUGAUUUGUCUAUUUUUUGUUGUCGGAGAUGUAAGUUGCGGCCAGGAUUUCGGGGAAAAGGCGAAUCUGUCUCCUGGAAAUCAAGGAGAAAAAGACAACGUGGAGCGGUGGUGAGUGGAAUCCGUCCUAAAAAGCAUCCAGAUCCUCGGAGCAUGGGUGACUCCAACGCUGUUCAGUGGUCUUUGACCCACCGGGAACGGCCCAUAGCGUGCAUUGACACUGUGCGCACUCUAUUAGUUGUGUAAUGUUGCAUGAAUCCACUGAAGUGCCCGCGUGGUCCCUCAUCAUCAUCAUCAUCAUCCCGUGAGCCUCGA
ensembl:lncRNA